rnacentral:rRNA from 1 species
AUUGAACGCUGGCGGCAGGCCUAACACAUGCAAGUCGAACGGUAACAGGAAGCAGCUUGCUGCUUUGCUGACGAGUGGCGGACGGGUGAGUAAUGUCUGGGAAACUGCCUGAUGGAGGGGGAUAACUACUGGAAACGGUAGCUAAUACCGCAAAACGUCGCAAGACCAAAGAGGGGGACCUUCGGGCCUCUUGGCAUUGGAUUUUCCCAGAUGGGAUUAGCUAGUAGGUGGGGUAACGGCUCACCUAGGCGACGAUCCCUAGCUGGUCUGAGAGGAUGACCAGCCACACUGGAACUGAGACACGGUCCAGACUCCUACGGGAGGCAGCAGUGGGGAAUAUUGCACAAUGGGCGCAAGCCUGAUGCAGCCAUGCCGCGUGUAUGAAGAAGGCCUUCGGGUUGUAAAGUACUUUCAGCGGGGAGGAAGGGAGUAAAGUUAAUACCUUUGCUCAUUGACGUUACCCGCAGAAGAAGCACCGGCUAACUCCGUG